UAUGAGCAUUAAGUCAACGUGGUUUUUUUUUUUGUUUUUUUUAAUUACUUUAACUCAUCAAAUUAAUUCAACCAAUUCCAUUCAUUAGUCAACAAGAUUUUAAGUCAGUUUAGUAUAAUUUAAGUGGAAAUGACUUGUACAGCCAGUCUGAGUAUACUUAAAAAUUGCAGGCAGCAGUUGAAGUAGGGAUUAUUAUUAUUAUUAUUUUUUUUAAAUAUGUAGUUGAUGAUUUUAGUAAAUGCACAGAUUAGUCAUAAAAUUAGUCAUUUUGUGUUAGAGGGUAAAGUAGGCCUACUGUAAAUUGAUUUAUUUAUAUAUUAUAAAUUUGUGUUGUUUUAAUUAUUUAUUAUAGUCUGGAAUUUGUGGAUACUUUUAAAGUGUACUGUAAUACGCGACACUGCUCAACACACUUUCGAGUAAACUCAAAGCAACUGCAUGUAGUUUUGUGUAUUUUCGCUACUUUAGAGCCCUCUACAGUAAGUGAGUGGAAUUCACUGUCGUAAAUAUAGUGCUGUCGUAAUUAUCUUUAUGGAGGAAAGCUGUACCAAAGCUGUACACGUGCAUUUGUUUUUGCCGUAAAGCAAUAAGCACUUUCCCUGGAAUUUCGUACCAAACAACUUGCAUCCUUUCAGAACACGUUUGGAGGGGAACGUCAAAGAAACAUAAGCCAGUCGCUUUAUUAGAAGUUCAGCCUUCAGUUCAUCUGCAGCACUCCUCCUGAGGUGUUACUCCUGCUCCUCAAGUGGCUCCGCUGGAGUGUUCUGGCCCCGAUGACUCAUGCCAUCUGUUAGCAGCUCUCGUAUGAUCACACUUCCAAUAAACAGAAAGGUGAAGAUUGUCUUUUUUUAAAUCAAUUUGGUUUUAAAUGAGUUUGGUUACCAGAUGGUUUUCAAUUAAAUUUACUGUUAACAAAGCUUAUUUAACUCUCGGUUUUAAUUUGUUGGGUUGGAUUUGAGUUUUUCAAUUUAAUACUAGUAGACUAUGGAUUACUUUUGCCUCUGUGCUCACUAAAUGCAACUGCAAUAACCUUUAUAUAUACACCUAUCAUUUUCUUAGGUACAAAACACAUAUAUAUUAAAUGUUUCAUUGUUGUUAAACAUUAUAUAA
ensembl:lncRNA